rnacentral:rRNA from 1 species
AUUGAACGCUGGCGGAAUGCUUUACACAUGCAAGUCGAGCGGCAGCGCGGCCUUCGGGCUGGCGGCGAGCGGCGAACGGGUGAGUAAUGCAUCGGAACAUGCCCAGUCGUGGGGGAUAACACUUCGAAAGAAGUGCUAAUACCGCAUACGUCCUGAGGGGGAAAGCGGGGGAUCGCAAGACCUCGCGCGAUUGGAGUGGCCGAUGUCAGAUUAGCUAGUUGGUGGGGUAAAGGCCUACCAAGGCGACGAUCUGUAGCUGGUCUGAGAGGAUGAUCAGCCACACUGGGACUGAGACACGGCCCAGACUCCUACGGGAGGCAGCAGUGGGGAAUUUUGGACAAUGGGGGCAACCCUGAUCCAGCCAUUCCGCGUGAGUGAAGAAGGACUUCGGGUUGUAAAGCUCUUUCGGCAGGAACGAAACGGUGGGCUCUAACAUAGUCCGCUAAUGACGGUACCUGAAGAAGAAGCACCGGCUAACUACGUG